rnacentral:rRNA from 1 species
GACGAACGCUGGCGGCGUGCUUAACACAUGCAAGUUGAACGGGGAUAUUAAUUUCGGUUAGUAUCCUAGUAGCGGACGGGUGAGUAACGCGUGAGCAACCAACCUUUGUGAGGGGGACAACGGCUGGAAACGGCUGCUAAUACCGCAUGAGACCACGGUUUCGCAUGGAACUGAGGUAAAAGAUUUAUCGCACAAAGACGGGCUCGCGUCCCAUUAGCUAGUUGGUGAGGUAACGGCUCACCAAGGCAACGAUGGGUAGCCGACCGGAGAGGGUGAACGGCCACACUGGAACUGAGACGCGGUCCAGACUCCUACGGGAGGCAGCAGUGGGGAAUAUUGGGCAAAGGGCGCAAGCCUGACCCAGCAACGCCGCGUGAGGGAAGAAGGUCUUCGGAUUGUAAACCUCUGUCCUUGGGGACGAAAAAAAUGACGGUACCCAAGGAGGAAGCUCCGGCUAACUACGUGCCAGCCGCCGCCGUAACAC